CAUCCUGCCUCUCCUCCUUCCAGGCGACGCUCCACCUCCUCCUCCUCCUCCACCUCCUCCUCCUCUUCCUCGUCCACUUCCUCCUCCUCCACCUCGCAGUCCAGCUCGCGGUCCCAUCGGACAAGCAGCUACCACAGGACUGGCGGUUACAGCCGCUCCCGCAGCCACAGGUAUUCCCGGUCCCACAGCAGGACCAGGCGGUACUCGGCCGGAGGCUCUCGAGAUGGACGACGACACUCCAGGUCGCGGUCGACAGAGCGGGGCUGGCGUUACGGCUCUCGACGCAGAUCCAGGAGCCAUUCCCGGUCUGGGGACCAUUAUCGGUGGAGCAGUGGCAGAGGAGGGAGGCACUGGAGCAGCAGCCGCAGCAGCCAAAGUGAGAGUGAAUCGCGGAGCCGCAGCCGGUCAGUGUCUCCAGCCAGAGAGAAAAUUCUGAGGCCUGUGGCUUCGCCUGCUGUAGGGGAGAAACUGAAAAAGGCUGAAACUGCUGGUGGUAAAGAGACAGGAGCUGCCAAAGUCAGUAAGAAUUUAAACCUCACCUCUUUAAUUCCCACCACUGCAGAAAAACAAAAGACUCGGGGGAAACCAUAGACAUUGCAGGAAAAGUGUGCAUUGUGGGGGCCUUUGUUCGUUUCGUAUUUAGUGAAGGGUGGAGAUAGAACUGAACUGAAUCGCCCGUGUCGGGAGGGCCCAUAAAAUGCAAGCCUGUUUGCUAUCCGAAGAAGGUUAGGCAGCUUCCCUUGUCAUAUUCAAGCCUACAUUUGCUUCAAGAACAAAAUAGUUGGUUGUUUCAUCCAAUCUUCAAAUAACAGAAUUAACAGAGUCGGAAGGUACUUUGCAGUCUUCUACCGGGUUUCCCCCCCAAAAUAAGACCCUGUCUUAUAUUGGUUUUGGCUACCAAAAAAAGGCAUCGGGUCAUAUUUCUGAGGGAUGUCAUCCACUGAUUUAACCUCACUUGCACGAGUUGCCCCCGGCCUCCUUUUCGCUGUCAGAGGCCUUCAGGAGCAACUUCUGCUGCUGCCAGUAAGGGUUUCCUGAAGGCC
rnacentral:lncRNA from 1 species